rnacentral:misc_RNA from 1 species
UCAAAACAAAAAAAACAUAAACAAGUAGUAAAACAAGAUAGAGAGAGAGAGAGAUAUUUUUGGGUCCAAAUUCGGGUUCUGUUCGCCUUGACCGGUUUUGGACCCACCUUUUUUGGGUUUUUGAUCCUCUUGUUUUUUACCUGUACUAGACUAAUCAAAUAAUAAUACAAAGUAAAUAUAGAAAAGUAAAAGACAAGGGCUUAGGCCCAAAAAAUAACAAAAUACAAAAUGAAAUGAAUAGAUAAAGUGGGCCUCCUCUGACCCAACUUCUUCAAAUCUCCGACUUCUUGAUUUUCAAAUUCUUCCAACUUAGGACCUGUACACCGAUUUUAAUGGGCCCGCUGACUUGAAAAAGCGUGAUUCUCCAUGACUCUCUCGAAAUGCGCGAGGAAUAGAAGGGUUUGUGAUAAACUCGAACCGUUUUCACAUGUGACAAAGUAGUUAACAAAAUUAGUAUUCGAAGAUAUGGAAUAAUGACGAUGUAACCCAAACAAUAUGGGAUUUAAUUAAGGUGAAUGACAUUCAAAGAAAUCAAAUUAAGGCAGAAUGCGACUCUAGAAGAAAGAAUUAGAUCAAACAAAGUUGAAAAAGAACGAAGUAAUAAACACAUUUACGCAAACAGAUGGUUGCAUAAAUAAAUGCGUACAAACACUUAAUAACCUUUUAACUGAAACUGAAUUUAUUCUCAAAGCAGUAACGUAAAACACCAAAUGGCAAAGCUAACCCAAGGCAGAAAAUAUUAAGAUUAACAGUGGUAAAGGGUGAAUCUAGGCAUAACUGCUAGACAAAGGUAAUGAUAAAGUAAGUAAUUAUCUACUAAACAUGAAGUGGCCCUUUUUUAAAAUUAUUUCUUGUCUAUCACUAUUACAGAAAGAGACUAGGAUCAUUAAGAACAAAUUAAAU